rnacentral:misc_RNA from 1 species
UCUCCGUGGGUGAACCUGCGGAGGGAUCAUUACAGAGUUCUCGCCCAUCCGGGUAGAUCUCCCACCCACUGUGAUUGAUAAUGUGUUGCUUUGGCGGACCGCCGAGGCCUGCCCGUCCGCCGGCUCCGGCUGGCGCGCGCCCGCCAGAGGCUCCGAAAACUCUGAAUGUCAGUGUCGUCUGAGUACUAUAUAAUAGUUAAAACUUUCAACAACGGAUCUCUUGGUUCUG